CGCUUUGAGGCUGAUUGGCGGACUGAGACGCUAACGCUGCGUAUGCUGUCAGUACGUGAAUGCCGUAGCUUCAACAUGGAGGUGUAGUAGCAGCAGUAUUUUCUGCUCGGAAUAUAUCUGAGCGAGAAAGCACAAUGGCAGAAAAAAAGACAAAAUCCUCAAGUACAAAAAGACCACUUAGCAAAAAGGAGCAGGAUGAGAUAAAGAAAAAGGAAGAGGAAGAAAAGGCAGCUGAAGUUUUUGAAGAGUUUGUAGCAUCCUUUGACGUUAAUGAGACAAACUCUGUGAAAACCUUUGUACGAGGUGGAAUUGUUAAUGCAACUAAAG